CAUUGGAAUGCAUUACAAUUCUUAUUACACAUAUACAGCACAAUUUUUCAUAUCUCUGUAUAUAAAGUAUGUUGACACCAAUUCAUGUCUUCCUACACGUACUUUGGAUAAUGAUGUCCAUCACAUUCCACCAUCCUUGCUAACCCCCUGCCCCACUCUUCCCCUCCCACCUCUCUGCCCUAUCUACAGUUUGUCUAUUCCUCCCAUGCUCUCCCUCCCUACCCCAUUAUGGGUCAGUCACCUUAUAUCAGAGAAAACAUUCGGCAUUUGUUUUUUGGGGAUUGGCUAACUUCACUUAGCAUUAUUUUCUCCAGCGCCAUCCAUUUACCCGCAAAUGCCAUGAUUUGUUCUCUUUUAUUGCUGAGUGAUAUU
rnacentral:lncRNA from 1 species